rnacentral:rRNA from 1 species
UGCAAGUGAACGGUAGCUGUGGAAAAGCUUGCUUUUCCGCUGAUAGUACACGGGUGCGCAAUGCGUAUAGAACCUACCUUUUACUUGGAGAAUAGCCCAGAAAAAUUUGGAUUAAAGCUCCAUAGUAUUGUUUUGAGGCAUCUUAAGAUGAUUAAAGUGUUACGGUAAAAGAUUGGCUAUGCGUCCUAUCAGUUAGUUGGUAAAGAGUAACGGCUUACCAAGACAUCGAGUAGGUAGGGGCCCUGAGAGGGGGAUCCCCCACACUGGUACUGAAACACGGACCAGACUCAAACGGGAGGCAGCAGUGAGGAAUAUUGGACAAUGGGCGGAAGCCUGAUCCAGCCAUGCCGCGUGCAGGAAGACAGCCCUAUGGGUCGUAAACUGCUUUUAUACAGGAAGCAAUAAGUCCCUUGCGAGGGAUGAUGACGGUACUGUAAGAAUAAUGACCGGAUAACUCCGUGCCAAAAGACGAGGUAAUACGGAUGGUCCAAAGCGUUAUCACGGAAUCCUCUGGGUCUAAAGGGGUCCGCUGCGCCGGCAAAUUAAGUCAGGGGGUGAAAUGAUUGCAGAUCAAACCGUAACAAAUGCCCUUUGAUAACUGGUAGUACUUGAGUCAAUGGUGAACUUGGCCGGGAAUAUUGUAGUUGUAGCG